AAAUUGAAGAGUUUGAUCAUGGCUCAGAUUGAACGCUGGCGGCAGGCCUAACACAUGCAAGUCGAACGGUAACAGGAAGAAGCUUGCUUAUUUGCUGACGAGUGGCGGACGGGUGAGUAAUGUCUGGGAAACUGCCUGAUGGAGGGGGAUAACUACUGGAAACGGUAGCUAAUACCGCAUAACGUCGCAAGACCAAAGAGGGGGACCUUCGGGCCUCUUGCCAUCGGAUGUGCCCAGAUGGGAUUAGCUUGUUGGUGGGGUAACGGCUCACCAAGGCGACGAUCCCUAGCUGGUCUGAGAGGAUGACCAGCCACACUGGAACUCUGAGACACGGUCCAGACUCCUACGGGAGGCAGCAGUGGGGAAUAUUGCACAAUGGGCGCAAGCCUGAUGCAGCCAUGCCGCGUGUAUGAAGAAGGCCUUCGGGUUGUAAAGUACUUUCAGCGGGGAGGAAGGGAGUAAAGUUAAUACCUUU
rnacentral:rRNA from 1 species